AUGCGCUGCUAAAGAAAUUAAACAUUGGAGUAAAUAAAUAAAGAACCUAUAUAACUAUGUUUGAAUCUAAUGUGCAUCGAGCUGUUGGUUAAAUGAGCAGUCCAUCAAAUGCCACAUCGUUAAACCAACAUUUCGGUCUAGUAUUUGAGGAAGAAGCUGCAUAUUUUUAUGACCUUAUUUAAACCAAAUAAAAAUAAAAACCUUUUCA